rnacentral:rRNA from 1 species
GAUGAACGCUGGCGGCGUGCCUAAUACAUGCAAGUCGAGCGAACGGACGAGAAGCUUGCUUCUCUGAUGUUAGCGGCGGACGGGUGAGUAACACGUGGAUAACCUACCUAUAAGACUGGGAUAACUUCGGGAAACCGGAGCUAAUACCGGAUAAUAUUUUGAACCGCAUGGUUCAAAAGUGAAAGACGGUCUUGCUGUCACUUAUAGAUGGAUCCGCGCUGCAUUAGCUAGUUGGUAAGGUAACGGCUUACCAAGGCAACGAUGCAUAGCCGACCUGAGAGGGUGUUCGGCCACACUGGAGCUGAGACUCUUUCCAGACUCCUACGGGAGGCAGCAGUAGGAAAUCUUCCGCAAUGGGCGACAGCCUCACGGAGCAACGCCGCGUGAGUGAUGAAGGUCUUCGGAUCGUAAAACUCUGUUCUUAGGGUAGAACAUAUGUGUAAGUAACUGUGCACAUCUUGACGGUACCUAAUCAGAAAGCCGCGGCUAACUACGU